GGGGCAGUAGCUCAGGGGGAGAGCACCUGCUUUGCAAGCAGGGGGUCGGGGGUUCGAGUCCCCCUUGCUCCACCA
rnacentral:tRNA from 1 species